rnacentral:rRNA from 1 species
AACGUAGGUGGCGAGCGUUAUCCGGAUUUACUGGGCGUAAAGCGUGUGCAGGCGGGGAGACAGGUGGUGUAUGAAAUUUCCCGGCUUAACCGGGAAGGGUUAUGCCAGACUGUCUUUCUGGAGUGCGAGAGAGGGGCGUGGAAUUCCUGGUGUAGCGGUGAAAUGCGUAGAUAUCAGGAGGAACACCUGUGGCGAAAGCGGCUCACUGGACCAUAACUGACGCUGAUGCACGAAAGCUAGGGGAGCAAACAGG